rnacentral:rRNA from 1 species
AGCAGCCGCGGUAAUUCCAGCUCCAAUAGCGUAUAUUAAAGUUGUUGCAGUUAAAAAGCUCGUAGUUGAAUUUCGGGGUCAGUAGGUUGGUCAUGCCACUGGUAUGUACUGGUCUCACUGAUUCCUCCUUCCUGAUGAGCCGUAAUGCCAUUAAUUUGGUGUUGCGAGGAAUCUGGACUGUUACUUUGAAAAAAUUAGAGUGUUUAAAGCAGGCUAACGCUUGAAUACAUUAGCAUGGAAUAAUGAAAUAGGACGUUCGAUCUUAUUUUGUUGGUUUCUAAGAUUGACGUAAUGAUUAAUAGGGAUAGUUGGGGGCAUUAGUAUUCAAUUGUCAGAGGUGAAAUUCUUGGAUUUAUUGAAGACUAACUACUGCGAAAGCAUUUGCCAAGGAUGUUUUCAUUAAUCAAGAACGAAAGUUAGGGGAUCGAAGACGAUCAGAUACCGUCGUAGUCUUAACCAUAAACUAAUGCCGACUAGGGAUCGGAUGGAUGUUAAUUUUUUAAUGACUCAUUC